UACAGAGGUCCCGAGCGUUGUUCGGAUUCACUGGGCGUAAAGGGUGCGUAGGUGGCAUAGAAAGUUUGAUGUGAAAGCUCAGGGCUUAACCCUGAAAUGGCAUUGAAUACUGCUGUGCUGGAGGUUUGGAGGGGGGACUGGAAUUCUUGGUGUAGCAGUGAAAUGCGUAGAUAUCAGGAGGAACACCAGUGGCGAAGGCGAGUCCCUGGACAACACCUGACACUGAGGCACGAAAGCUAGGGGAGCAAACAGG
rnacentral:rRNA from 1 species